AACGAACGCUGGCGGCAGGCCUAACACAUGCAAGUCGAACGCCCCGCAAGGGGAGUGGCAGACGGGUGAGUAACGCGUGGGAAUCUACCCAGUGGUACGGAACAACCAGGAGAAAUCUUGGCUAAUACCGUAUAAGUCCUUCGGGAGAAAGAUUUAUCGCCAUUGGAUGAGCCCGCGUCGGAUUAGGUAGUUGGUGAGGUAAUGGCUCACCAAGCCUACGAUCCAUAGCUGGUCUGAGAGGAUGAUCAGCCACAUUGGGACUGAGACACGGCCCAAACUCCUACGGGAGGCAGCAGUGGGGAAUAUUGGACAAUGGGCGAAAGCCUGAUCCAGCCGUGCCGCGUGAGUGAUGAAGGCCCUAGGGUUGUAAAGCUCUUUCGGCGGGGAAGAUAAUGACUGUACCCGCAGAAGAAGCCCCGGCUAACUUCGUGCCAGCCGCCGCUGUAACAC
rnacentral:rRNA from 1 species